rnacentral:rRNA from 1 species
UACGUAGGGGGCUAGCGUUGUCCGGAAUCAUUGGGCGUAAAGAGCGUGUAGGCGGUCCGGUAAGUCCGUUGUGAAAGUCAAAGGCUCAACCUUUGAAUGCCGGUGGAUACUGCAGGGCUAGAGUCCGGAAGAGGCGAGUGGAAUUCCUGGUGUAGCGGUGAAAUGCGCAGAUAUCAGGAGGAACACCGAUGGCGAAGGCAGCUCGCUGGGACGGUACUGACGCUGAGGCGCGAAAGCCAGGGGAGCAAACGGG